UAUAUAUAUGUAUGUAUGUAUAUAUAUGUACAUUAUUCAUUCACUGUGACAUUACAACAAGCCGAGUAGCGAAGAGCGAAGUUUGCAUUACAGGCUGUAAUUGACAGCAGACAACCGGCCGUAGAACAUUUUCAUUAGUUGGUGUUGUGGACUGUUAUAGUUUGAAGUUUGUUUUAGUAUUCUGUACUGAUAACUGAAAUGCAUAAUAUAUUUUUUGCUGUGUAAAUUUUAGCUAAAUGUAUAUGUAUAGUGAAAUAACUGUUUUUGUCUUUUCACUUUUAGGUUAUUAGUAAACCAAAUUAAGAAAAGGAAAGAUGAAGGAUGGAAGACUUAUUCAAGUCAAGAUCUGUAACUGGGAAUAAAGUGGAAUGAUAAUCAAUUGCAGGAGGAUGUGGAGAAUUUGUUAAUAAUGUGAAACAUGAUUAUUUGCUGGACCUUUAACUUCAUAUAUAUAUACUAGCUGUUCCCCGCGGCUUCGCAUGCUUUUUGUCUAAUGCGGAAUAUGUCUUCAAAAGGAUUCUCCAGGCUUCAUUAUUUGAUGAUUACUUUAAAAAACAGUUGGACCGGCAGAAAUGGCAGUAAUAUAUUCGGCCAUGGAUAUUAAAACAAUAUUCUAUCUAGAAACAUCAGUUCAAGUACUGCAGUGUGUAUACGAUCCCUUUCAACCCCUCAUCAAAAGAAACCGGCAAGUCAGACAGUGGAUUCCAGGCUGGACCAGUGGUCCCAAGUGUUCACACCCUAAAAAGAAGGUAAGAAAUUACCCUGACAGUUUUACGAUGUGGACCUACAAUACGUUUACCAUUGUUUAUUUACUAGAUAAAGAUACUAUAAAUAUAUUUCAAUUUACGUUUGAUAAACUACAGUAGCCUUUCAACAUUUAUAUUUUAUUACUGACUAGAUAGGAGACUGAGCCCCUAGAUACAGUAGUAGUAAUAAGUUCAAAAUAUAAUCUUAUAAAUAAAAAUGAAUCGCUGAAUGUCUUGCUAAUCCUGGGAUAAGUA